rnacentral:lncRNA from 1 species
GCGCAUUCUUGCAAGUUCUUUUGUUAUGCCCUUCACCUCCACAAUUUCCACACGACACCUUGUACUUCUUUGAGUUUAUUUCAUCAAAUGGUUUAUAUCUUUCCUUGUGAGGUCUACCUGGCUGCCUUUUAUCUCCUGCCGGUGGCUUUACUACCUUAUCCAAAAUAUGUUGUGGAACAUCCCAUUUGGCUAUAUCAAGAAGAGGAUUUACUGGCAUUCCAUAGGUAAGAAGAAGGCUCUUCCUUGUGUAAUACGGAGAGCAAUAGUUGUCAGGCCUUUCAU